rnacentral:rRNA from 1 species
CUUAGGGAGGAGCUUGCGUCACAUUAGUUAGUUGGUGGGGUAAAGGCCUACCAAGACUAUGAUGUGUAGCCGGGCUGAGAGGUUGAACGGCCACAUUGGGACUGAGACACGGCCCAAACUCCUACGGGAGGCAGCAGUAGGGAAUUUUCGGCAAUGGAGGAAACUCUGACCGAGCAACGCCGCGUGAACGAUGAAGUAUUUCGGUACGUAAAGUUCUUUUAUUAGGGAAGAAUAAAUGAUGGAAAAAUCAUUCUGACGGUACCUNAUGAAUAAGCCCCGGCUAACUAUGUGCCAGCAGCCGCGGUAAUACAUAGGGGGCAAGCGUUAUCCGGAAUUAUUGGGCGUAAAGGGUGCGUAGGCGGUUAAAUAAGUUUAUGGUCUAAGUKCAAUGCUCAACAUUGUGAUGCUAUAAAAACUGUUUAGCUAGAGUAAGAUAGAGGCAAGUGGAAUUCCAUGUGUAGUGGUAAAAUGCGUAAAUAUAUGGAGGAACACCAGUAGCGAAGGCGGCUUGCUGGGUCUUUACUGACGCUGAGGCACGAAAGCGUGGGGAGCAAACAGGAUUAGAUACCCUGGUAGUCCACGCCGUAAACGAUGAGUACUAAACGUUGGGUAAAACCAGUGUUGAAGUUAACACAUUAAGUACUCCGCCUGAGUAGUACGUACGCAAGUAUGAAACUUAAAGGAAUUGACGGGACUCCGCACAAGCGGUGGAUCAUGUUGUUUAAUUCGAAGGUACCCGAAAAACCUCACCAGGUCUUGACAUGCUUCUGCAAAACUGUAGAAACACAGUGGAGGUUAUCAGUUGCACAGGUGGUGCAUGGUUGUCGUCAGCUCGUGUCGUGAGAUGUUGGGUUAAGUCCCGCAACGAGCGCAACCCUUAUUGUUAGUUACCAGCACGUAAUGGNGGGGACUUUA